AUGAGGAAGGAUUGUAGCUCGCAAAUGAUGAUGUCGGUGGAGAAGGAUCCAUUGCGUGCCUUGUCAUGGUACCAAUGCUUUACGCGUGUGCGUGUAGGGCCGGCGAGUUGCGCAACCUUGAUGAAUUGCUAUUCUGGGAUGAAUUUAGCGAGUAAGACUAUGGUUGAUGCUUUGAACCUACCAUUGAUUGAACAUCCAGAACCGUACGAGCUUUGGUGGAAGGACAAGUUUGUCAAAAUCAUGCAUCGCGUCGAGGUACAGUUUAUUCUAUGUGGAUAUGGUGAUCUGGUCAUGUGUGAUGUGCUUUCUGUGCACAUGCAUACAUGUUCAAUACUACUAGGAAAACCAUGGACAGAUAAACGACAGUUGAUAUAUCAUUCUGUUGGCGAAUUUUCUUUUGUUUUGGGAGGACAAUACAUACCACUUGAUUCAUACACAUUAGAGAAGUAUACGGCUGAUCGCAAGAAGCGGGAUAUUGCUCAAGCUGCAUCAAAAGUAAAGAAGAAGAAGGUUGAAGUUGCAAAAAAAAUUCCAAGCGUCGUUCAAACUGCAAAUACAAAUAUUGUUAAAGAGAUUGAUUCGAAACCGAGGACGGUUUCGUUUCAACGGGGAGAGGAUGAUACAGCCAGGGCUAAUGUCAGUUUUUCCAAUGUUUGUCAAACUUUUCCGCAAGUUGAUGAUUUGGAGGCCAGAGGUGUGUAUAUACCUAGAUAUAUUAGCUUUAAUGAGAAGCAUGAGUUUGAGGAGAAGCUAACUAGCGUGACAUGCAUGCAUGCUAAUGUGCUAAAAUUGAGAGCAGCUGGAGUACCAGAUUAUGCCAGGGAGAAAAAUAAUUUGGAAACAGAUUUGUUUUCCUUGGGCCUAGUAAACAUGCAUGCACUUCAAAGAGCACAUAUACGUAUACACAAGGGAAGUGAUGAUAUCCUACAAGUCCGUACAUGUGCUAGUGCACAAGGAAUUAAAGUCCAUUAUCUUUUUAUGUUUCCACGUCCACCAGAAAACAGAUCAAAGGCCAUGAAGUUGCUACCUCGAGAGUUGCUGUGUUUGUGCGCUAGUGGUUGGGGGCCUCCUGUUGUCUACACGUAUCCAACGGCCCUCCAAAUUAAAAAGAAAUAUUAA
rnacentral:rRNA from 1 species